GGCUUUCUUUGCGGCGGAGAUCGACCGCCCACAGCGCUGAUCGUGGAGUUCGUCGCGGCUCACCGCGAUGAACACGGAGUCGAUCCGAUCUGUGCGGCAUUGCGCGAUACGUCCGCCCAGAUCGCUCCG
rfam:Gordonia phage Blueberry, complete genome.